rnacentral:lncRNA from 1 species
GACAAGCGUAUGUCUGUGCCCGUGAGACACUGUGACUCCUUCCGGACACCAAGCUUCUGGAGCGUUUUGGCCCCUGAGAAGGCGGCCAUGUUACUGAGUCAAGACCCAUCUACUCUGUUCCAAGCCUGCCC